UCUGCUCCUGCUCCGUCUCCGCGCCACCGCCUAUAAAACUCGCUCGCCUCCACACCCCCAGACACAGCCCACCACCGCUGCAGUCAAACGGGCCGAGACCGCCCUGCGCUGCCCCCGGAGCUCCUCGAGAGGGAAGCGGCGGAGGCCGCGGGAGGGGAGACCAUGGAGGCGAGGUACGCGGCGCUGCGGCGCGCGGCGGAGGAGGUGGCGGCGGUGGACGCGCACGCGCACAACCUGGUGGAGCUCGGCUCGGCGUUCCCCUUCCUCCGCUGCUUCUCCGAGGCCGAGGGCGACGCGCUCGCGCUCGCGCCCCACUCCCUCUCCUUCAAGAGAAGCCUGAGGGACAUCGCUGCAUUGUAUAACUGUGAAGCCUCACUCGAGAAGGUUGAGGAGUUCAGGACGGCUGAAGGAUUGACAUUGAUCGGCUCGAAAUGCUUCCAAGCUGCCAACAUAUCUGCCGUCCUUAUAGAUGAUGGCAUAACGUUUGACAAAAUGCUGGACUUGGAUUCCCACAAGGCAUUUUCUCCUGUAAUUGGCAGGGUUCUGAGAAUAGAAAGGCUAGCAGAAACAAUCAUCAAUGAGGAGUCAUUCAGUGGAUCAAGCUGGACACUGGAUUCAUUCACUGAAAGCUAUCUUGCUAAGCUGAAGUCAGUGUCUACCCAAAUUGUUGCAUUGAAAAGCAUAGCUGCAUAUAGAAGUGGCUUAGAGAUCAAUCCCAACGUUAGCAAGACUGAUGCAGAGGAUGGUCUUCGAAAGGAGCUAACAGGUCCUAGGCCGUUUCGGAUUACAAACAAGAACCUGAUUGACUAUCUAUUUACCUGCAGUCUUGAAAUUGCUGUGUCAGUCAACUUGCCAGUGCAGAUUCACACAGGUUUCGGAGAUAAGGAUCUAGACUUGCGAAAGUGCAACCCACUACAUUUGCGUGCUGUUCUUGAGGAUAAAAGAUUUUCUAAGUGCCAAAUUGUUCUUUUGCAUGCUUCUUAUCCAUUUUCUAAGGAAGCAUCUUAUCUUGCAUCUGUUUAUUCCCAGGUCUAUCUUGAUUUUGGCUUGGCAAUUCCAAAACUUAGUGUUCAUGGAAUGACAUCAUCACUGAAAGAGCUUCUGGAGCUAGCUCCCAUAAAGAAGGUCAUGUUCAGUACAGAUGGAUAUGCUUUUCCAGAGACAUAUUAUCUAGGUGCAAAAAGGGCACGGGAUGUUGUUUAUCAUGUCCUAGCUGCCGCAUGUGAAGACGGAGACCUUAGCAUUCAGGAAGCCAUUGAAGCAGUUGAGGAUAUCUUUAGAAGAAAUGCAUUGCAUCUAUACAAGUUAAAUGUUACCAAUGGAUCAAUUAAUCAUGAAACUACCAUAGCUGGUGGCGGUGUGUCAUCAACUUCUGUUGAGGAAGACGUUCUCUUCGUUCGGAUAAUCUGGAGUGAUGCCUCUGGCCAAAAUAGAUGCCGUGUUGUGCCAGCUGGACGGUUUUAUGAGGUUACAAGGAAUAAGGGUGUUGGUCUGACUUAUGCGGUAAUGGGAAUGACUUCAUUUUGUGAUGGGCCAGCAGAUGGAACUAACCUUACUGGUGUAGGCGAGAUCAGACUUGUACCAGAUAUGCCAACACUUCUGAGGCUCCCAUGGUCAAGUCGGGAGGAAAUGGUGAUGGCUGACAUGCAAAUAAGCCCUGGAGAAGCCUGGGAAUACUGUCCUAGAAAUGCCUUGAGGAAAGUCACUAAAGUUCUGCUAGAUGAGUUCAAUGUGACAAUGAAGGCGGGUUUUGAAAAUGAAUUUUUUCUUCGCAGAAAAUUAGUAAGUGAUGGGGUUGAGCAGUGGGUUCCAUAUGAUAAUACCAAUUACUGCUCAACUUCCGCAUUUGAUGGCGCAUCAUCUAUAUUACAAGAAGUAUAUUCUUCUCUCAAAACUUCAGACAUUGUGGUUGAGCAGUUGCAUGCUGAAUCUGGAAAAGGGCAAUUUGAGAUAGCCUUGAAGUAUAUCUUGUGCACUCUUGCGGCUGACAAAUUGAUAUAUGCCCGUGAGACUAUUAAAUCAAUUGCUCGAAAGCUUGGACUGCUAGCAACAUUUCUUCCAAAGCCUGAUUUGAAUGAUAUUGGAUCUGGUUCUCACGUGCAUCUGAGUUUGUGGGAAAAUGAUCAGAAUGUUUUUAUGGGGUCAAGUAAAGAUAAUUUUUAUGGAAUGUCAAAAACGGGAGCACAGUUCCUUGCUGGAGUGUAUCAUCAUCUUUCAUCAAUAUUGGCAUUUACUGCUCCUCACCCAAACAGCUAUGAUCGGAUUCAGCCAAAUACAUGGAGUGGAGCUUAUCUAUGCUGGGGGAAAGAGAACAGGGAGGCUCCAUUGAGAACCGCAUGCCCACCUGGCGUGCCUCUUGAUUUAGUCAGCAACUUCGAGAUCAAAUCCUUCGAUGCAUGCGCAAAUCCUCACUUGGGCCUUGCAGCCAUCGUUGCUGCCGGCAUUGAUGGCCUAAGAAGAGGCCUCAAGUUGCCUGAACCAAUUGAAAGCACCAUUACAUAUGCGCCCACCAGCCACCACCGGAUGCAAAUGUCUCAUGCGGCUCGUGUUGUUUGCAGAAUCAAACCCUGCAGAUUAUGCUUCCAAACUCAAAAGGCUACCGCAGAACCUGCAGGAAUCCAUAGAUUCGCUUUCUGGAGAUAAGGUCUUGCAUGAAUUAAUUGGUGAUAAACUUGUCACGACCGCUAUAGCUGUACGGAAGGCCGAAAUAGAUCACUAUGCAAAGAAUCCAGGGGCAUUUAACGAUCUCAUCUACCGGUACUAGGACAAACGAGCGGAUUGAGGGACUAAGUUUUUUUUAAGACCUAGCAAGUGUAACCGCAUGACCGAGAGACUGUGGAAGAAUAAAUUUUGUUUGAUGUUCAACUCUAUUCUCUUGUCAUGUAACCGAACUUGAUUCGUGGCUUUUUCACUUAUUAUUAAAUAAAAUAAAUGUUGUGUUAAAUAGGCACAUGCAAA